AGAUCACAGAUGACCUUCAGCUGAUAUCAUUGAGCCCUGACCUGCCUCAGUGAUCUGCUCACACAGAAUACAUAUGCUGAACAGUGCUGGUGUGUGCAGUAGGGCACUUUCCUUCAUUAUCUGUCCUUGGUUUCACGUGCCUGAUUUCCCACUAUCAGGGAGACAAGGAGUUCUGGAUGAAGCAAUCUUUUUCUCACAACAUGGCUACCAGCUCAGUGGCGAGAAACACCUUGUUGGCUCCCAUGAAGGUUACCGAAUUGCAAGCUGUGCACGGGUCUUUAAAGCAGAAUUCUUUAGAUCGUGAGAGUCUGUAAUAGGACAUAAAUGGACAUUUCAUCUAUAAAAUGCCUACUCAUACACCGUCCUCACACCACAGCUAAUGCAUCAAAACCUGAAAUAGUUUCUGUGCGACAAUUUAUUUCCCUGGCCACAGAAAAUAAUGUCUUGUAUUAUCAAUAGAUUUUCCAUAGUACUUAGAUGUUCUGCUAAGAUAUCUUACAAACUUGUGCUGUGAGCUGUAUUUCCUGUUUAUAUUAUUUCAGUACAAAAGUUAUAAUAUUAUGUAUCUUCAUGUGGUUAAAAGGAUAUUUAUUCAAUUUCUUUAAGGUUUUUCUUUAUUACCCUCAAAAAAAUAUUAUUGGGGGGGGGGGAAAUGUCUUGAAUGCUUUAGUAGCAAAGAUAAGCAAAAGUAAAGAGGUCACCCAUCUUUGCUGUUUGGUGUCAUUUUGAUAGUAGCAUUCAUAUUUUUAAACAAAGAUAUUGAUUACUUGCAUAAAACAAACAAUAUCUUUUGUCAAAGGAUCUGAAGUCAUUUUUUAGGUACUGAUUACAACCACAACUCCCUUAGGAGAUCAGGACUUCUUAGGAGGCAUAGAGGUACUCUCUGUUACAAAGGCAUCCCAGAACUUCUCCAUUCAAGACACUGUUUUGCCUGUAUGAUAAAAUUAAUAUUUUAGCCUGAAAUGUUUGUGCCAAACAUUUUAUGCAAUUGCCAUGCUUUGUUUUGCCUCCUUUCAGCUCAUAUCAUCCACACUCAGAAAUACAGUUAUGGGAGACUAUGAGGAAAAUGUCCCAACUGCUAUGGUUUUGUGAGUUUCGGUUAUUGGUAUUCCACAUCAUAACAUCAUGUAGUGAAUGUACCUGGUUCUCAGAAGAGAAGGACUACGAC